rnacentral:lncRNA from 1 species
UCAGACAGCUAAGGAGCUCAGAAUAGCACCGGCAGCAGGAAUGGGUCAAGCACUGCCCCUGUCCUUGGGGGCCGGCCUCUGCACCAGGCCAUGCUCCUCCCCUCCCCGCAUCCUUCCUGAAGCCGUCCUGCUCCCAGACCUCCUGCCACUAAGAAGACACUGAGGAAGACACUGAAAAUGCAGCGCGGUGCGGCCCCAGCGCCCCCGGCAGCGCCUCCCCUCAGCACCAGCAGGCGUCCGUCUCAGGCUGGCUCCCCAGGGCAGCAGGAAGCCGUCCGGCUCCACAGGCGACCUGCCGCCUGAAUGACCGACAUGCGGCCGCUCAGCAGCCACACCGGCUGGCUGCAAGUGCAGAGCCAGGCGGACAAAGCAGACCAUUAAGAAGCGACACAGAGGCUUUUGCCUCCGGCCCAGGCGGGUAUCAGGGCUGUCGGGGCCCAGGACAAGAACCCAGCCUGGGGAGGAAGAGGCAGUGCUGGUAUCACAGAACCCUCCAUGGAGGGGCGAGGAGCUCGCUGUCCCACCUCCUUCAGCCCUGCAGCCACGGUAAUGAGCACGGGACUGUGUACCAGGGUCUCCUGUGGAAUCAGCAGCUCGUGAGCAGAGGAACAUCAGAAAGGGCUCUUCUGGUGAAUGAAUGGUACUGAAGGUAUGUGGGUGGGGACACUUCGGACUGGGACCCGAGGAGUGCGUCCAGCACGGGUCGGGUGUCCUGGUGACUGGUGCUCCUGACUCGGGAGGCCCCACGGGGGCCGGAGCACCUACGGG